rnacentral:tRNA from 1 species
GACUCUAGGGUCAGAUGGUACGACGCUAUUCCUUCACAAUAGAAUUACCGGUUCGAUUCCGGUUAGAGUUA